rnacentral:rRNA from 1 species
UACGAAGGGGGGCUAGCGUUGUUCGGAAUUACUGGGCGUAAAGCGCGCGCAGGCGGUUCUUCAAGUCAGAGGUGAAAGCCCAGAGCUCAACUCUGGAAUGGCCUUUGAGACUAGAGAACUAGGGUACGGGAGAGGUGAGUGGAAUUCCUGGUGUAGCGGUGGAAUGCGCAGAUAUCAGGAGGAACACCUAUAGCGAAGGCAGCUUGCUGGGACGUAACUGACGCUAAGGCGCGAAAGCGUGGGGAGCGAACAGG